rnacentral:tRNA from 1 species
GCGGAUGUGGUGAAAUUGGCAUACACGAUGGAUUUAGGUUCCAUUGCCCCAGGGCGUGCAGGUUCAAGUCCUGUCAUCCGCACCA